rnacentral:rRNA from 1 species
GCCUCUGCAUAUCUUAUCGAGGAGCCCUUCGGGGCAGGAAGACAGGUGGUGCAUGGUUGUCGUCAGCUCGUGUCGUGAGAUGUUGGGUUAAGUCCCGCAACGAGCGCAACCCUUAUUGUUAGUUGCUACCAUUAAGUUGAGCACUCUAGCGAGACUGCCCGGGUUAACCGGGAGGAAGGUGGGGAUGACGUCAAAUCAUCAUGCCCCUUAUGUCUAGGGCUACACACGUGCUACAAUGGCUGGUACAGAGAGAUGCUAAACCGUGAGGUGGAGCCAAACUUUAAAACCAGUCUCAGUUCGGAUUGUAGGCUGAAACUCGCCUACAUGAAGCUGGAGUUGCUAGUAAUCGCGAAUCAGAAUGUCGCGGUGAAUACGUUCCCGGGCCUUGUACACACGAAAAAAUUU